GUGUAUCCUCUUUCCCCGGAUGUUUGGCCUCAUGUCCUGUGAGUGCCUCUUCAUAUGACAACAGUUUGUAAUGUUGUUUUCUUUUGAGUGAGUGGAAAGAAUUCUGUCUUUCUUCGGGUGUGGCUGAUGGAGCUUGUUGUGGAUUCUCGGUAGUUUACGGAAGUCCCUUUCGCCUGCAGGACUCUUCACCGCUGGUGACAUAUUGGGACCACCCCGGCCAUUUCUUGCUUGCAGAGAGCUGCUUCCCAGAGAUGACCUUGGGCGACUGUCUCCUGUGGGCCUCUCUAGGCAUGGGCUGCUGCACUGUUGCCUCAGUGGCUGGUGCUGCUUAGCUAGGUGACAGCAAUUCUUUUCUAUAGCUUAAGCUAUAGAAAGGAGGGAAUUUUUUGGUUGAUGCAAUUGAAAAGUGUCGGGGCAGAACCGUCUGGUUCCAGCGAGCAGAACUAGAGCGAUGGUUACUGAAAUCACCGGGAUGAACCUGUCCUCUCCCUGCGGCUUCACACUCAGGGGCAUGCUCCCCUCAUGGCGGAUCCAGGAGAUUUCAGGCUUCCAUCCUCUCAGGUCAGUGCAACAAGAUAGUGACAACACAGCGUGGGAGUCCAGAAGCAGAAAUUUGAUUUGUUUAAACUUUCUGAAGUCAUCUGCCCUGUCUGGACAUUACAUAGACUACCAGGUUUACCCAUGGCUUCGAUGUGCAUGCUCAUUGGAGCAGAUAAGAAAGCAGUGGAAAGUGGGUCGGAGGACUUGGUAAGCCACAUGCACAUCGAGGCUGGGAGAUCAGCCCUAUGAAGACUUAGAGGCUUUCCAAUUGGUGGAGUUUUAGGGGCUUAACAGGAGAGUCCCUCCAAAGUAGAGUGAUUGCAUUUCAUGCCUCCUCCCAUAAAGAAGCAGCCUGGUGCUGAGGGGCCUCUUUGGCUUUUGGAGGAAGCAUAGUCAGUCCUUAUGAACACUGCUUGAACCCAUUUUCUGGGUGAUGUGGAAGGCUGUCAUCUUUGAUUGAGACCCAGAAAGGAAAGCAUUCUCCAUAAGUCCAAGUGCAAAUAACCCUGCCAUUUAUGCCAUAUGACCUGGACAACUGGAUGGUACUCUGUGGCAUUUAUGCUGUAGUGUGGCAGACCUGAUGGCACUACAUGCACGUAUGAUACCUCAU
rnacentral:lncRNA from 13 species